GAUGAAGAACGUAGCGAAAUGCGAUAAGUAAUGUGAAUUGCAGAAUUCAGUGAAUCAUCGAAUCUUUGAACGUACAUUGCGCCCGCCAGUAUUCUGGCGGGCAUGCCUGUUCGAGCGUCAUUUCAACCAUCAAGCCCCCGGGCUUGUGUUGGGGACCUGCGGCUGCCGCAGGCCCUGAAAAGCAGUGGCGGGCUCGCUGUCACACCGAGCGUAGUAGAUUUUAUCUCGCUCUGGGCGUGCUGCGGGUUCCGGCCGUUAAACCACCCUUUUAACCCAAGGUUGACCUCGGAUCAGGUAGGAAGACCCGCUGAACUUAAGCAUAUCAAUAAGCGGAGGA
rnacentral:misc_RNA from 1 species